UCCGUAGGCGGGCGAUUAAGUCAGAGGUGAAAUCCCACAGCUUAACUGUGGACCUGCCUUUGAUACUGGUCGUCUUGAGUUAUAGUGAAGUAGAUAGAAUAUGUAGUGUAGCGGUGAAAUGCAUAGAUAUUACAUAGAAUACCGAUUGCGAAGGCAGUCUACUAACUGUAUACUGACGCUAAUGGACGAAAGCGUGGGGAGCGAACAGGAUUAGAUACCCUGGUAGUCC
rnacentral:rRNA from 1 species